rnacentral:lncRNA from 10 species
AUAUACACCAUGGAAUACUAUGCAGCCAUAAUAAAGGAUGAGUUCACAUCCUUUGCAGGGACAUGGAUGAAGCUGGAAACCAUCGUUCUCAGCAAACUAACACAAAAAUAGAAAACCAAACACCACAUGUUCUCACUUGUAAGUGGGAGGUGAACAAUGAAAACACAUGGACAAGGGGAUGGGGGUGGGGGAGGGAUAGCAUUAAGAGAAAUACCUAAUGUAGAUGAUGGGUUGAUGGGUGCAGCAAACCACCAUGGCACAUGUAUACCUAUGUAACAAACCUGCAUGUUCUGCACAUGUACCCCAGAACUUAAUUAAAAAAAAAAAUCCCAAUAACUAGCAAAAAUGGUCAUACCCCAUCAUCUACUAGAGCAAUUAUGUAGUAUUUUACUUAGAACAGUAGAAACACUCUCCAUUCCUUUUCAGCUAAACAACUAAAGAUCUCACUUUGAAAUUACUUUUUUUUUUUUUUUGAGACGGAGUUUCGCUCUGUCGCCAGGCUAGAAUGCAGUGGCAUGAUCUCAGCUCACCGCCUCCUGGGUUCAAGUGAUUCUGCCUCAGCCUCCUGAGUAGUUGGGAUUACAGGGGCCUGCCACCACACCUGGCUAAUUUUUAUAUUUUUAGUAGAGAUGGGGUUUUACCACAUUGGUCAGGUUGGUCUCAAACUCCUGACCGCAGGUGAUCUGCCCGCCCCGGCCUCCCAAAGUGCUGGGAUUACAGGAGUGAGCCACCGCUCCCAGCCAGUUGAAAUUACUAAUUUUAAUCAGUUCAAUGAAGUGGACAAUUAAUUUCACUCUUCACAAGCCACAAAAAUAUUGACAGCUUAGUAGAUAACAGUAAGUGAACACUUAAAACUUGUUUUAUUCCUAGGACUUUAUUCCCCAUACAGAUAAAUUUGCAUUCUCAUACUGAAUGUAAACACUUAAAGAUGGAUUUAACUCUACAGCUAGAAUUCCAUAUUAAAUUAUAUUUCACUAUUCCCUAACUAAAAACUUUUUUUUCCCUGAGUAAGGGAUAUGUUGAGAUUUACAUAAACAGCACUUCACAUGAUACCGGGAUUUCAAAUUUUUAAAAAGAUGCAGAGUUCACUUCCAAUAAUGGCAAAGUAGCACACAGAUAUCAGACCAACCCUCCUGCUGAUAGCAACUGCAAACUCUGAACAAAUAUAUUUUAGAAAAAACUAAAGGCACUGGAAACAACUAUAAACAAGUGGAAAGUAGAGGGAAGUUGGCACUUAAAAAGUGAACAGCACUGGCUCAAUGUCUCAUUUUUAACGGGUUCUCACUUGAGGGGGAAACAAAAGCCAAGUUUUAUUGGUUAAGGAUCAGAAGGCAGAAUAUGGGGCAACCACAACAGCUGGAACAUAAAGGGGAAACCCCCAAAAAACAGGAGGCACAGAAGGGGCAGACUUCCUUCUGCCCAAACUCUGGUUGACCCCUGAACUACACACUUGCAUGGGAAAGACUUCCAGCAGCAUAGCUAAAGCUAAAACAACUGAGAAGAGAUUUCAGCUGCUGCCACCUACAAACAAGACAGAGUGUGGAGUUGGUGUUCAGCCAAGUUAACUGCCUCCUAAGACAACAAUCAAUUUUCUUUAGAAGUAUGUAACAGAAUCCAGGGUCAUUAUGUCACUCAUGAGCAUGAGACAAUCUAUGCUAUCUAUACCAAAUUUCAGAACUACUUAAUCUGAAUUAUUCUUAAAUUUAGUUACAAUAUGCAAAAGCCUACUUAGCAUUUAGUACUUUGUUACUUAAGUUUCCUCAGGACAUGGCCUAGAAAAGAAAUUAGAAUAUACACUAGAAGUAGUCAUAAAAAAAACUAUGACCAUCUCAACACGUACUCAUGAUAACCAGUAAAUGAAUAUUUAAGACGUUUAUUUCAGUAUCUUCAUUCCCCACUGUAAUACAUUUGAAUGCCCACGUAUUUGAGUUCCGUAAAUAGACUCUC